CCCGCUAUGAUAUAGGAGCUUCCAUCUCUCUCAAGGGAGACAGACCUCUGAAGAUAAGGGGGUGUAGCCUAAAAGAUGAGGGUGUUGAGUCUUCUCUACCUGUUGUCAGUCCUUCCUGGUAUCCUGUCUGAUGUGCAGCUUCAGGAGUCGGGACCUGGUCUGAUGAAACCUUCUCAGUCACUGUCCCUCACCUGCUCUGUCACUGGCUACUCUAUCACUACUAAUUAUUGGUGGAGCUGGAUUCGGCAGGUGCCAGGAAACAAACUGGAGUGGAUGGGGGCCAUAAGCUACAGUGGUAGCACUAGCUACAACCCAUCUUUCCAAAGUCGAAUCUCCAUCACGAGAGACACAUCCAAGAACCAGUUCUUCCUGCAGUUGAACUCUGUAACUACUGAGGACACAGCCACAUAUUACUGUGCAAGAAUCACAGUGUGGAGUCUUCAUUGUUGGGCCAGACAUAAACCUCCUUGUAGUGCAAUUCUGCACCAACAGAGGGCAGGCAGCAUACAUCAAGCAUAG